AUUGAACGCUGGCGGCAUGCCUUACACAUGCAAGUCGAACGGCAGCACGGGAGCAAUCCUGGUGGCGAGUGGCGAACGGGUGAGUAAUAUAUCGGAACGUGCCCAGUCGUGGGGGAUAACUACUCGAAAGAGUAGCUAAUACCGCAUACGAUCUACGGAUGAAAGCGGGGGAUCGCAAGACCUCGCGCGAUUGGAGCGGCCGAUAUCAGAUUAGGUAGUUGGUAGGGUAAAAGCCUACCAAGCCUGCGAUCUGUAGCUGGUCUGAGAGGACGACAAGCCACACUGGAACUGAGACACGGUCCAGACUCCUACGGGAGGCAGCAGUGGGGAAUGUUGGACAAUGGGCGCAAGCCUGAUCCAGCAAUGCCGCGUGCAGGACGAAGGCCUUCGGGUUGUAAACUGCUUUUGUACGGAGCGAAAAGGUCUCUACUAAUACUAGGGGCUCAUGACGGUACCGUAAGAAUAAGCACCGGCUAACUACGUGCCAGCAGCCGCCGUAA
rnacentral:rRNA from 1 species